UUGGAUUUAACAAACUUGCCAGCAAGACUGUGAGUGAAUCACUAUGUGCUACCAUGCGCCCAGCAACUUCCACCAUAUUGUGUGUAGAAUUAAAAAGUCUUUGAGUAAGGGUUUGGCAGAAAUUGGCUCCUCUAAGAAGUGAACGAAAAAAAAGUAAUUUAACAUUUUGUUAGAUCUGGAACUAUAUUCACAAUAUAUUCUAUACCAUGGUGUAUGGUAACUGCUGAGUCACUGCCUGAACCACUGAUUGAGCACCUGGGGAAAGGACCCAGUCAGCCCUGGGAGCACAGGUGAAGGCAAUUCAGCUGUGUGAGCAGAAGGGGUGGAGCCUGGCUGCACCUCUCUUAGACUUCAUUUCAUGGCUGGCUGCCACUGGGGAGGAUCUCUGGUUGGGGACCUCUUCCUUGAGGAGUUUUCUCUGUGAGCCUAGAUUUUUGGAGUCAGGCCUUGCCUUUGUUUGUGACCUGAUUCUCAUGACCUUCCUUCUUAAAAACGUCCCUUCUCAGCAGACGUCAGUCCUGUUCUUUCCUGACAUUAUCACAAAUGCUGAUGAUCACCAUGAGGACCUUGGUCUCUGCAUUCCUUCUUCCAGUCAAGAUAACACAGAGGACCUUCCUGCACCCCUCCUCUUUUCACAGAUCCUGGGAGGAGAUUGGGGUGGUCACAUAAGCCAUAUCUGCAGUCUUCAUUUCCACAACUCCUCACAUGCGAGUGGUGGAAACUUCCAAAUAUACACACGUGCGUACCUGUUAGCUGCUGUAGUGCCACAUCAACAUAGCAAACUCAAGUUAAAAUAUCCUGGGCUGCCUCAUUCCAGGAUCAAAUAUAGAAUUAUUCCUUACAGUAUUUUUUAUUUUUCUUUUCUGCAAUGUAAUUAGUCUGGCUAUAGUCUAUUCAAAGCUUUCUGUUGUUCUGUUUCCACUAUGCCUGAUAUCUGAUUCUGCUGAAAAUAGACCCUGUGGUAAGGAAACAUAUUCUGCUCUUUGGUUUCAUGCUUUCUUUUUGUUAUUUUGAUCCCUGCUUAUCUGCACUCUCCACAACUCACUGAUGCAGUUCCUCCCACUGUUUUGCAAUGCCCUUCAGAUACUGGAAGAUGCUUCAUAUCUUUGAUGAGAGAUGGAGAUCAAAUUUUCUCCUCAUUAUCGUUCAGCCAAAUACACAGUUCUGUUCUUUAACGAUGCUUUGUAUGCCCCUCCUUCAGAUCCUCUCAUCUUUUAUAAUGUUUCACUCCAAACUGUGUCCAGUAGUGCACUUUCUGUGAGAUCUCUGAUUUCCCAAGUGAUCUCCAGAAAACUGUUGUCAUAUCCUUUUAGAAAAGGUCACUUCUGAGUAACUUGAUGAAAGCUGCUCAUGUACUGCGCAGGAGCUCACUGGCUGCUCUGAGAGCCACAUUGCUUUGUCUGCUAGGUCUAGUUCAUGAUCCACUGAUAAUGCACUAUCAUUGGCAUUUAAGGGGUAUGCUUUGGAAGAUUUUGCAUGAUGGAUAUUCUGGUGAUAAGAUAUUAUUCCAUUUUGCCUCUGAAAUAUUUCUUCCCAUCUAUAUUUCACUGAAUUAUUUUGCAUUCUCCAUUCUACUUG